rnacentral:misc_RNA from 1 species
UGACAACUACCAUGAAAAAAACUGUUCACAAAUUGAGGUAUGAAAUACUUCCUCAUUUGAAUGACCAUAAUUAGAAUAAGCCCAAAACAUAGAUAUUCAUCCCUCACACCAUAUCUAAAUUCAAUUCGUCUCUUUGAAGUUGCAAUAUAAAGCACAUUCAUAACCGAAUUAAGUCCAUAUUCUAAGAUUGACCUGAACAUGCAUUAUCACAAAUAGCCUAUCUCCAAGAAACAAUAAUUUUCAUCAAUGAAAAGGAAUAAAGAUUACUAAGAAAACUAUAAAUUCAAAUUGGAUUCUGGAAAUCGCACGAAAA